GAUGAACGCUGGCGGCGUGCCUAAUACAUGCAAGUCGAGCGAACAGACGAGGAGCUUGCUCCUCUGACGUUAGCGGCGGACGGGUGAGUAACACGUGGAUAACCUACCUAUAAGACUGGGAUAACUUCGGGAAACCGGAGCUAAUACCGGAUAAUAUAUUGAACCGCAUGGUUCAAUAGUGAAAGACGGUUUUGCUCACUUAUAGAUGGAUCCGCGCCGCAUUAGCUAGUUGGUAAGGUAACGGCUUACCAAGGCAACGAUGCGUAGCCGACCUGAGAGGGUGAUCGGCCACACUGGAACUGAGACACGGUCCAGACUCCUACGGGAGGCAGCAGUAGGGAAUCUUCCGCAAUGGGCGAAAGCUUGACGGAGCAACGCCGCGUGAGUGAUGAAGGUCUUCGGAUCGUAAAACUCUGUUAUUAGGGAAGAACAAAUGUGUAAGUAACUAUGCACGUCUUGACGGUACCUAAUCAGAAAGCCACGGCUAACUACGUG
rnacentral:rRNA from 1 species